ensembl:rRNA 5S_rRNA 5S ribosomal RNA
GUCUACGGCCAUACCAUCCUGAAAGCGCAUGAUCCCGUCAGAUCUCAAAUGCAAUCAAGGGUAGGGCUUGUUCAGUACCAGUGUGGGUGACUGACUGGGAAUAGCAAGUGCUGUAGUCC